UCAGUUCAGCUUUCUCCUGAGCUCUGAUCAGCUUCUUCACCUCCGAGCGUUUUUUCUCCAUGGUGCUGAUCAG